rnacentral:sRNA from 1 species
UCCAGAAGACUUACAGUCUCCCUGAGGAUGAUGACUUCAUAAAGAGAAAAGAAAAGGCCAUCAAGACAGUUGUGGACCUCUCAGAAGUGUACAAGCCCCGUCGGAAAUACAAACGCCACCAGGGAGCAGAGGAGCUACUUGAUGAAGAAUCUCGAAUCCAUGCUACGCUUUUGGAAUAUGGCAGGAGAUAUGGAUUUAGCCGCCAGAGCAAAACGGAGAAGGCUGAGGACAAGAAAACGGCACUUCCAGCAGGGCUGUCAGCUACAGAAAAAGCUGAUGCCCACGAGGAAGAUGAGCUUCGAGCAGCUGAAGAGCAGCGUAUUCAGUCGCUGAUGACCAAGAUGACCGCUAUGGCAAAUGAGGAGAGCCGUCUCACCGCAAGCUCCGUGGGCCAGAUUGUGGGACUCUGCUCUGCUGAGAUCAAGCAGAUUGUGUCCGAGUAUGCGGAGAAGUCUGAGCUAUCAGCUGAAGAAAGUCCAGAAAAAUUAGGAACCUCCCAGCUACAUCGCCGGAAAGUCAUUUCCUUGAACAAACAGAUUGCGCAAAAGACCAAACAUCUUGAAGAGCUGCGAGCAAGUCACACCAGCCUACAAGCCAGAUAUAAUGAAGCCAAGAAAACGCUGACAGAGAGAACUAUCCUCAUCCAGACUUGAAAAGCUGUCUUCCUUGUGAUUUUGGUGCUUGGACUAUAGCCGUACUAUGGAAGGACCUCGCUGCAAGGUCCCUACCUCGUACUUCCUGGACGAUUUGGAAGCUAGGAUCUUCAAAGACGUCUCUGAAACCAACCCAGUAUCCCUACUUUUCUAGAAUUCACAUGACAUUUACCAAUUUAAAAUUCUUAC